rnacentral:tRNA from 1 species
UCAAAUUUAGUUUAUAGUAAGCAAUUCAUUUACACUGAGGAAAAUCCGUGCAAUUCGGGAAUUUGAA